CACGGGGGGAGCAAGCGUUGUUCGGAAUCACUGGGCGUAAAGGGCGUGCAGGCGGUCAGGUAAGUGGGAUGUGAAAUGCCCCGGCUCCCCCGGGGACCGGCAUCUCAUACUGCUUGGCUUGAGUACGGGAGAGGAUGUGGGAAUUCCUGGUGUAGCGGUGAAAUGCGUAGAUAUCAGGAGGAACACCGGUGGCGAAGGCGCACAUCUGGCCCGAUACUGACGCUGAGGCGCGAAAGCUAGGGGAGCAAACGGG
rnacentral:rRNA from 1 species